GAGUUUGAUCAUGGCUCAGGAUGAACGCUGGCGGUAUGCUUAACACAUGCAAGUCGAACGGAGUGCUUCGGCACUUAGUGGCGGACGGGUGAGUAACGCGUGAGAAUCUGGCUUCGGGUUCGGGACAACAGUGGGAAACUGCUGCUAAUACCGGAUGUGCCGCAAGGUAAAAGAUUAAUUGCCCGAAGAUGAGCUCGCGUCCGAUUAGCUAGUUGGUGUGGUAAGAGCGCACCAAGGCGUCGAUCGGUAGCUGGUCUGAGAGGACGAUCAGCCACACUGGGACUGAGACACGGCCCAGACUCCUACGGGAGGCAGCAGUGGGGAAUUUUCCGCAAUGGGCGAAAGCCUGACGGAGCAAUACCGCGUGAGGGAGGAAGGCUCUUGGGUUGUAAACCUCUUUUCUCAGGGAAGAACAAAAUGACGGUACCUGAGGAAUCAGCAUCGGCUAACUCCGUGCCAGCAGCCGCGGUAAUACGGAGGAUGCAAGCGUUAUCCGGAAUGAUUGGGCGUAAAGCGUCCGCAGUGGCUUAUCAAGUCGAUUGUCAAAGGUCCUGGCUCAACUGGGAACAGGCAGUGGAAACUGAAAGCUAGAGUGCGGUAGGGGUAGAGGGAAUUCCCGGUGUAGCGGUGAAA
rnacentral:rRNA from 1 species